CAUGAACGCUGGCGGCGUGCCUAACACAUGCAAGUCGAACGAUUCCCCCUCCUCGGGGCGGACAUGAAUUUUUGAUCUUGGUAGUAACACGUGACCGACCUGCCCCCCGCCCAGGGACAUCUCCCCGAAAGGGGGAUUAAUACCUGGUUUGCCGGAUGCGGCGCAUGCCGCGUCCGGGAAAGCUCUCGCGGCGGGGGAUGGGGUCGCGGCCCAUCAGGUAGACGGCGGGGCAGAGGCCCACCGUGCCGACGACGGGUAGCCGGGUUGAGAGACCGACCGGCCACAUUGGGACUGAGAUACGGCCCAGACUCCUACGGGAGGCAGCAGUGGGGAAUUUUGCGCAAUGGGGGCAACCCUGACGCAGCAACGCCGCGUGCGGGACGAAGGCGUCCGCGUCGUAAACCGCUUUCAGCGGGGAACACUUUUCGAGGGUACCCGCAGAAGAAGCCCCGGCUAAAUACGUGCCAGCCGCCGCCGUAACAC
rnacentral:rRNA from 1 species